AUGUAUUGACGUUUAAUUUUUUGCUGCAGGAGUGAAUGAAACAAAGCAACAGUGUUUUGAAAUUUGAUAUUCGCAAAAUUUUCGGAACUUAUAAAGUUUGCUUUUAUUUAAACACGUUUCCCUAAUUUAAUAGUUAAUAUCCAAAUACCUAUCUAUAGUUUAUAGUUAAACUAAAAAAAUCUCAUCGAAGGCACCCAAAAACCAUCUGCCUCUCAGUGACGAUCAAUGCCGUCCAGCCGCAAGUUCGACCAGUUCAUCGGAUUUUACACGUAACAUCGGAAGCAUUCUGAAGAUUAACGUCUGUAUCAUAUCAAAAUGGGAAAUUUGAAAUAACAAUGUCCGGACUUAUUGGGUCAUUUAGAACGAUGUGUCUGAUCAGCACCUCCUGUAGUUGGUCUGGCAUCGUCGUAGAAACAUCGUGUUCACAGAGAGAAGCUCAUAUGUGCCCCCUUGUUGAUUGAAAUAAUUCAAACGAUUUCUCGUGGAAAACAACGGGCGCUUUCUGAACCCCAAGAGAUAUUUUCCAGCGCCUUCUGGAGAGCGACUACAUCGGUGAGCCGGUGAACACGACCCAAAAGAAAAAAUCGACAUUGUCCUCGUCGCCACCAUCGCCAAAUACCUUAAUGCGCUGCGCUUACUGGCAGACGAAAUUGAGUAUGCGGAGGAAUAUUUGGUGUGGAUGCAUCCUGGAAACAAUACUCGGAGGCAAUCCUGCAAACAACCAGUAGGAAAGCGGAAUCGGGACUGGAAUACAAAAGCUAAUAAAGGUCGCUUGCUGUGCACACUAUCUCAUGGAAUUGAUUUAGUAGGCACAACUCGGAUUAGCCAACAAUCGGAUACCCAGCAUGGGAGGCCUGUAUGGGGUCCGUCACAGGUGGUGCUGCUGUUCUAGAUGUCCGUAUGGAUUGCCGGAAACAACGGAAAAUUUAUAGUUGCUGGUUUAAUGCGAGAUCCACCCUUGGGCAAAAACGGACCUGCUGGAGCGAGUUUCAGGCAAUACGUCCAAAACAUCAACUCUCUUCCCUGACCCACGGCUGUUUUAUCAGUAUCUGGUGGUACAAUCUCGGGUGGCAAUAAUGUUACGAAUCUCGUAGCAGCGUUUGCCGGAUAGCUGUAAAUUAACAUCUUCCCAGCGGGCAGGAUUCUACACAGGAUACUUCGGAACCAGAACUGCAGUUACUUCCCAUCUUAGCCUAACCAUGAAGCUGAUCCAGGAAUCCACCGGUGUCGCAGAGCCCGAGUGAUUUAAAAGCGUGGCUAUACAGCUUUUUAAUAAUUUUGAUUUUAAAUAAAAUGAUGUUUUUAUUUCCAACCUUCCAGCAGGAAUUAUUAGUUCCUGCUUCCAGCAUUGAAAACAAACUUCAAAAAUAAAGAUUGCUGACGUCUAAUCAUCUUUCUCUUUCAAUCGCGUAUAGGAAGAAUAUGAUUUGUUCGGCCAUAGUCUGAAUAAAUAUAAUAUAAAAAUAUAAUGAAUGGUGGAUUGGUAGCUCGCUUGAAUGCCAAAUUGGUUUAUUGGUUGGUUAGUUGAUUGAUAGUUUGCCUAAAUGGUUGAUUGAUUGCUUUAUUGGUUGUUUGAUUGGUUGGUCGGCUGGUUAGUUGAUUAGUUGUUUUUUCGGUUGCUUGAAUGGUUGAUUGAUUGGUUGAUUAGUUGGUUGGUUGAUUGAUUGAUUAGUUGAUUUGUUAGUUGGUUGAAUGGUUAAUUGCUUGAUUGGUUUAUUAGUUGAUUGGUAGCUUACUUGAAUGGUUGGUUGGCUGAUUG